GCUUACAUUCAAUAUCAGAACAACCUAUUAUUCUAUGGCCCCAAUAAUACAAAAUUUUUUGACAAAGUUAGCUUUAUUCCUGUUUCUUAUUCUGGAACAACAUUAAUUUGUCCCUUGCCUGUAAAAAAAACUAACUUCCUUCAAAUCAUUCAACCAUUUAGUUAUGAGGUCUGGAUAAUGGUCACAGCAGUAACUGUAUUUUCUGUUCUUUCUUUUUACUUAUUGGUGCUUCUAGAUGCAUACCUUCUAUCUUACAGUAAGAUUAUGAUGACAAUAACAAAUAAUAGUAAGGGUUAUGUCAAUAAGUAUACAUUACUUAAAUGUAAGCAUUGCACAAAUCUAUCAUAAUUAUUUUAAAGGGAUAACCUUCCCCCCUACCCUCCUCUUGUUAGAAAUUAUUAAAUAUUUUCCAUUCUGAAUAAUAGUUAAUUCAUGCAUUCAUGCGUAAUACCCAAGGGGGA